AUUGAACGCUGGCGGCAGGCCUAACACAUGCAAGUCGAGCGGAUGAAGAGAGCUUGCUCUCUGAUUCAGCGGCGGACGGGUGAGUAAUGCCUAGGAAUCUGCCUGGUAGUGGGGGACAACGUUUCGAAAGGAACGCUAAUACCGCAUACGUCCUACGGGAGAAAGCAGGGGACCUUCGGGCCUUGCGCUAUCAGAUGAGCCUAGGUCGGAUUAGCUAGUUGGUGAGGUAAUGGCUCACCAAGGCGACGAUCCGUAACUGGUCUGAGAGGAUGAUCAGUCACACUGGAACUGAGACACGGUCCAGACUCCUACGGGAGGCAGCAGUGGGGAAUAUUGGACAAUGGGCGAAAGCCUGAUCCAGCCAUGCCGCGUGUGCGAAGAAGGUCUUCGGAUUGUAAAGCACUUUAAGUUGGGAGGAAGGGUUGUAGAUUAAUACUCUGCAAUUUUGACGUUACCGACAGAAUAAGCACCGGCUAACUCUGUGCCAGCAGCCGCGGUAAUACAGAGGGUGCAAGCGUUAAUCGGAAUUACUGGGCGUAAAGCGCGCGUAGGUGGUUUGUUAAGUUGGAUGUGAAAGCCCCGGGCUCAACCUGGGAACUGCAUUCAAAACUGACAAGCUAGAGUAUGGUAGAGGGUGGUGGAAUUUCCUGUGUAGCGGUGAAAUGCGUAGAUAUAGGAAGGAACACCAGUGGCGAAGGCGACCACCUGGACUGAUACUGACACUGAGGUGCGAAAGCGUGGGGAGCAAACAGGAUUAGGUACCCUGGUAGUCCACGCCGUAAACGAUGUCAACUAGCCGUUGGGAGCCUUGAGCUCUUAGUGGCGCAGCUAACGCAUUAAGUUGACCGCCUGGGGAGUACGGCCGCAAGGUUAAAACUCAAAUGAAUUGACGGGGGCCCGCACAAGCGGUGGAGCAUGUGGUUUAAUUCGAAGCAACGCGAAGAACCUUACCAGGCCUUGACAUCCUAUGAACUUUCCAGAGAUGGAUUGGUGCCUUCGGGAACAUUGAGACAGGUGCUGCAUGGCUGUCGUCAGCUCGUGUCGUGAGAUGUUGGGUUAAGUCCCGUAACGAGCGCAACCCUUGUCCUUAGUUACCAGCACGUAAUGGUGGGCACUCUAAGGAGACUGCCGGUGACAAACCGGAGGAAGGUGGGGAUGACGUCAAGUCAACAUGGCCCUUACGGCCUGGGCUACACACGUGCUACAAUGGUCGGUACAGAGGGUUGCCAAGCCGCGAGGUGGAGCUAAUCCCAUAAAACCGAUCGUAGUCCGGAUCGCAGUCUGCAACUCGACUGCGUGAAGUCGGAAUCGCUAGUAAUCGCGAAUCAGAAUGUCGCGGUGAAUACGUUCCCGGGCCUUGUACACACCGCCCGUCACACCAUGGGAGUGGAUUGCACCAGAAGUAGCUAGUCUAACCUUCGGGAGGACGGUUACCACGGUGUGAUUCAUGACUGGGGUGA
rnacentral:rRNA from 1 species